ACACUAUGAUACCCUGGCAACUGGAAUAAUUUAUUUUCAUCGCUUCUAUAUGUUUCAUUCCUUCAAGCAAUUCCCAAGAUAUGAGCCUGUUGCCUCUUUCUGGCUGGGAAAGUAGAAGAAACACCAAAAAAAUGUAAAGAUAUCAUCAAAACAGCUCGUAGUUUAUUAAAUGAUGUACAAUUUGGCCAGUUUGGAGAUGACCCAAA
rnacentral:sRNA from 1 species